GAUGAACGCUGACAGAAUGCUUAACACAUGCAAGUCAACUUGAACUUCGGUUUGGGUGGCGGACGGGUGGGUAACGCGUAAAGAACUUGCCUCACAGCUAGGGACAACAUUUGGAAACGAAUGCUAAUACCUGAUAUUAUGAUUAUAUGGCAUCGUAUAAUUAUGAAAGCUAUAUGCGCUGUGAGAGAGCUUUGCGUCCCAUUAGCUAGUUGGAGAGGUAACAGCUCACCAAGGCGAUGAUGGGUAGCCGGCCUGAGAGGGUGAUCGGCCACAAGGGGACUGAGACACGGCCCUUACUCCUACGGGAGGCAGCAGUGGGGAAUAUUGGACAAUGGACCGAGAGUCUGAUCCAGCAAUUCUGUGUGCACGAUGAAGUUUUUCGGAAUGUAAAGUGCUUUCAGUUGGGAAGAAAAAAAUGACGGUACCAACAGAAGAAGUGACGGCUAAAUACGUG
rnacentral:rRNA from 1 species